UACAUGGGGUGCAAACGUUGCUCGGAAUCAUUGGGGCGUAAAGCGCGCGUAGGCGGUUACUUAAGUCGAAUGUGAAAGACCCUCGGCUUAACCGAGGAAGUGCAUCCGGAAACUGAGUAGCUAGAGUACGAAAGAGGGUCGCGGAAUUCCCGGUGUAGAGGUGAAAUUCGUAGAUAUCGGGAGGAACACCGGUGGCGAAGGCGGCGACCUGGGUCGAGACUGACGGCUGAGGCGCGAAAGCGUGGGGAGCAAACAGG
rnacentral:rRNA from 1 species